rnacentral:rRNA from 1 species
UGGGGAAUAUUGGACAAUGGAGGAAACUCUGAACCAGCAAUUCUGUGUGUGUGAAGAAGGUUUUAGGACUGUAAAACACUUUUAGUAGGGAAGAAAAAAUGACGGAAACUUCAGAAGAAGCAACGGCCCAAUAAGUGCCAGCCGGCGUGGUAAUAAGGCAGCUGCCGGCGUUAUCCGGAAUUAUUGGGCGUUAAGGGGAACUAGGCGGUAAGACAAGUUGAAGGUGAAAACCUGUGGCUCAACCAUAGGCUUGCCUACAAAACUGUUGAACUGGAGUACUGGAAAGGUGGGUGGAACUACACGAGUAGAGGUGAAAUUCGUAGAUAUGUGUAGGAAUGCCGAUGAUGAAGAUAACUCACUGGACAGAAACUGACGCUGAAGUGGGAAAGCUAGGGGGGCAAACAAG